UACCGUCCAUCUGCGUCUCUCCUAAUCUCAUCCGUCCGCUGUACACCGUAGCUCUAUCUCUUCCAGCGAUUUCGCCCGAUCUCAUCCCACCAGCGAUGUCGCCCCCCACGCGGUGACUGCGCCGCGCAAAUCCCCGGCGCGAUGACUCCGCCUACUCGCUCCGCGCCUCGCUCCCCGUCGCCUCCUCGCUCCGCACAUCGCUCCCCGCGCGCAUCCUCGCUCUGCACCUCCUCUCCUCGCGACGAUCCACCGCCGGACCAGCGACCUCGCCUCCUCGCUCCGCCGCAACGUCGGACCUCCCUCUUCCUCGCAACGGUUCAGCGACGGCGCACCACCGCACCGCCAUACCAGCGCCGAGGCUGCCGCCGCCCACGCCUAUCCGCCGGCGCCGGCGCCGAGGAAGGCCCCUUCCGCCGCCGCCGCCACCACCAUCGCCACCGUGCACUCGAGGUCGUCCCUCUUCCCCAUCGGCUGCAGCCUGAGCCGACGUCCUCCCCAUCCGCCACCGCCGCUGCCGCCGACGGAGCCGAGGUCGUCCCCAGCCACCGACGCCAACGGAGCCGAGGUCGUCUCCAGCCGAUGCCGCCGUUUUCCUGCUCUGCUACUGGUUGAAGAAAUCAUUCCUGGCAAGCAGUUGUGGAUCCCUAAUUCUGGAGUUCUUUCUCCUUCACCCAUGCUUACAUGCUGCCAUCCUCGAUUACUACCACCAUGGCUGCGUUGCAAGGUUGCAACACGGUGGUGGAUGUGGACUUGACAGAGCAGUAGCUUCACAUAAGUGCUUUGUUAUGUUAUCCUCAUGAGGAAGAGAUUGAAUGGAUUGAGGGGGAUUAAUUUCAGGCUCAAUAGAUUUGGAAUAAGUACCUUCCAAAUUCCCCUCAAUCCACAUGGGGAUGGAUGAACUCAACAAGGCCGAAUGCAUCUCAAAUACAAGUUGUGAUGUGAAGGUGAUAAUCAAGAUUGGAAAACCCAGGUAAGAUAUGACUUUAAGUGGUGCAAGUUAAUCGUGAUAGCAAAUCCGUUUAGUCUUAUUAGGAAAUGUCAUACAUGAAAGAAUGUGAUUGACAAAAAUAUUUUUUUAGCCUUCUGAUUUGCAGAUGCUUUAUUGGAGUUGUGCUGCUCCUCGCGACAAACAUGAAAUGGAGAAGAGAAGGGUAUACUCACAUGCAUAUAUUAUAUAUUGAUAUUUGGCCUAUUGUAGAAACUAUUGGUUUUAAGCAUACAUGCCCUAAAAAGCAUAUGGUUUCUAUAGUAAGGGUUGAUAACUCCAUAUUGAUAUGUUCUCUUAGAAAUACAUGAAAUAGAAAUUUGUGUGACAUCUAGAAAAACACCUUGAUUCACCUUUCUAAAAUGCUUCCAGUUAUGUUUAACUAAUGAACUCUGGAUAAAUUAAACUUGCUGAUGCAAAACCAUAAUGGAUUUGUAAGAGGUAAUGGCUUUGGAUCUUCAGUGAAGAGUAAUCUCUAUUUUCUCAGGUUCAUUAAAGGUCAACAGGGCACGACCAGCAAAUUGAUUUUAUGGAUGUUCUUUCAAGAACUCACACCCUUUUAUUUAAUCUUGUAAAUUUGAUGUGUGAUUGAGUUUCUAGGGUCAGAGCUUCAAGUGUGAUUGAAGCAGAUCUACAUUUUGUGAGAGAUUAUGCAGAGUAAAAACGACGUAGUAUUUUCUUUCAUAAUACAAUUUGUCAUGCUUCAUUUAUUUUUCUUAUGGAGCACACACACGUUGAUUUUACUGCUUAAAUGAUAUUUGGAAUACCUGAUGGGAAAUCCACUGAUGAGUCCUAUUUAACAGAAAUUAGUGAGAUACUUUUUGCAAAAUGGAACAUGAUACUUUCUGCCAAAUGAAACAUCUUUUAGCCGCCCUACUUGUUUCUUCACAGUUACCGGUAAAAUACUCUCACAGUGACAUGUACAACAAGCUAGGAACAUAAACUUAAUAUGUACUAGAAUGUUUAGGACUAUCCUUAUGAUAAUUCAUGUGCUCGAUUUAGCAUUUCAGAAUGUACCUCAUACUCUCAAUGGUAUAGAUGCAAGAUAAGCUGGCAGCUUUGGUUGCGUCAAUAGGUUUUGUUAUUUUCUUUUUUAGAUUCUCUAUCAUGAGAAAAAGCUCAGCCUCUUGGUAUUAAUGUGAAAUUGGGAUAUGGCUCUUCUGUUACCAUGGAAAAUUAAUUUGUUGUACGAGCAAUUAUAUUUACAUCUGUACAUUAGCAUACAAGCAAACCUUCGUUUGUACAGCCUGCACUGGCAUAAUUGGGAAAUUAAGCUUAUCCCUGUCCAGAAGCAUAUAUCUAUUAAAUGAUUUUUUAGCACGUUGUUGGCAAGAGAGGAACUAAAGUAUGCUACUGCAUUGUGUAUUUUUGCUUGACACAUGGAAUUUGAUUUGUGGAACCCAAAUUACCAAACAAUUUAAGUAGAUCCCUCCAUUACCCCUUUUGUUAGUUGCAUUAUAUAGGCACAGUUUAGAUGGAACUCUAUUGAAAAUCUUACGUAAUAUCAUUAUAGAAGAGGGCUGUUUGAAAGGCUGGCAGCGACAGGAGGCUUACUAAUUGUAGUAUCGAGUAUGGCUACUCCUCUUUCUUAUGUUCUAUUUCCUGUUUACCUAUUCUUCUUUCAGUUUACUGACCAUUAUAGCAUUUUGGUCAAGCUCAUGUAGAUAUCUGUGGAAGUUGUUUCCUUCAUAUGAGUGGGGCACUCUAGAUUCUAUGGAUGAUCUUAUGUUGUUUUAUCUUUCUGUCAAAUUAUAAUGGAAGUUGUUUGAGGUACUGGAUUGAACUAAUAAGGAAAAAUCAUUGUAUGUCUGGUUAAAUUUAAAGUUGUUUCAUGUUCUAAAGAGUUAGAUCUGUACUGUUGAUACUUGAUAGAAGUGAGAUGAGAGUGUCACUCCAAUUGAUAACCCCCCUCCCCCCCCUCCCCCGAACUAUGGUGGUGUAUCAAAUCUGUUCAGGGGCAAGGUAUGCCAACAUGGCAGGAAGCCACUCCAAAGGAUUGCUUGUGAGAUGUAAAUAAUACAACCACUUUCUGGUAUUGAAUCUGGGUUGCCCAUGUAGUA